rnacentral:rRNA from 1 species
UACAGAGGGUGCAAGCGUUGUUCGGAAUUAUUGGGCGUAAAGGGCUCGUAGGCGGCCAACUAAGUCAGACGUGAAAUCCCUCAGCUUAACUGGGGAACUGCGUCUGAUACUGGAUGGCUUGGAUUCGGGAGAGGAAUGCGGAAUUCCAGGUGUAGCGGUGAAAUGCGUAGAUAUCUGGAGGAACACCGGUGGCGAAGGCGGCAUUCUGGACCGACAUUGACGCUGAGGAGCGAAAGCCAGGGGAGCAAACGGG